CUCGCGCCUAGUAACCACGGCUCCCUGGGAGACCUGCUGGGUCCUGGGGGUGACCGGGUGAAGCGCCACUUGAGGGAGAGGCCAAGAAUUCUGGCCUGCAGGCCGGAGACUCGGUAGAUGCUACAUUGACCUUCAACUCAUCAACACACCCCUGUCAGGAAGGUACUGCAGCCCAGCACACAUCCAUACCUGCUGAAGACCUGGGGAGUCGCUUUCUGUAACAACAGGACCAGGAGGAAUUUUUGUAUCUCUCUUGUAUCUCCCUCCCCGGGCCUGGGAGACGCAUCGCCAGCAUCCUUCCAUGACUCCCCCACACCCCGGAGGCCUGUGAGCAUUCACCUCGGAGUUUCAUUUCUGCUUCCACACACAGUACUUCUGGGUGAACCCAGCACAGCUCCAAGUUUCCCUGCGGAAGAGUCUUCGAGACUAAAAACAAAAACACAAAAGCAGAGGCGCCUGGCUGGUUCAGUCGGUUAAGCGUCUGACUUCG